CCUACGGGCGGCAGCAGUGAGGAAUAUUGGUCAAUGGCCGAGAGGCUGAACCAGCCAAGUCGCGUGAGGGAAGACGGCCCUACGGGUUGUCAACCUCUUUUGUCGGGGAGCAAAGCGAGUCACGUGUGACUCUUUGAGAGUACCCGAAGAAACAGCAUCGGCUAACUCCGUGCCAGCAGCCGCGGUAAUACGGAGGAUGCGAGCGUUAUCCGGAUUUAUUGGGUUUAAAGGGUGCGCAGGCGGAGGUGCAAGUCAGCGGUAAAAGUGCGGGGCUCAACCCCGUACUGCCGUUGAAACUGCAUCCCUUGAGUGCGCGAGAAGUAUGCGGAAUGCGUGGUGUAGCGGUGAAAUGCAUAGAUAUCACGCAGAACUCCGAUUGCGAAGGCAGCAUACCGGCGCGCAACUGACGCUCAUGCACGAAAGCGUGGGUAUCGAACAGGAUUAGAUACCCCAGUAGUC
rnacentral:rRNA from 1 species